UGUUCAACCCAGUCUCACGGCAGUUCGUGACAUAGUCACGUAAUUUAAUCUAUUGAUUCGUGUUCAUGGACACGAUUUCCCCCUUUUUUUCGUGCUAGUCAGAACGACUUUCAAUCUAAUGUAUUUCAAUAGGAAGUAUUUUUCGUGCCUGCACCACGUUUUUUUGUCCUAUUAUUUUUUUGUGUUUUCCAGCACGAAUUUAAUCUAAUGUAUUGCAAUAGUAUAUACCCGGGAGCUGUAUUGUUUUACUUUAUUUGUCAUUAAUUUAUUACACUUUAAGCGCUACUUUACUCAACAUUUAAUCAGGAGACGUUUAUCCUUUUUUAUUUGUUUAAUAUUCUGCAUGAUGAUCGCCAUUGUAAACCAUCGUCAGCAGUACAUAAUUGUUAAUUUACGAGACUGCAGAGUUUUGCUACUGCAAUCGUUUCCAAAUGUUGCCGUUUUUUCUGAGAAAUAUUGAUUUUUUUCGAUCGGUUUCGUGUGUCAAAUACAAGAUUAAAUACUACAGUACCCAUGAGCCUUAUCGACAUCUACUAUGGUGAAGGCACCAGCUAAAACUACAUGUGGGCCCGCUGCAGAUUACAAUAUUUUCUCAACACAUGAACACUAACGUGUGCUUGAUAGUUCAACAAUACGAUGUUAUGGCCAUCAAAUUUGAUUGUUUCUACUUUGAUUGUAAAAAAAAAGUCCGUUUCGGACGCCUGCAUUUCCCAGAAUCCUCUCUGCCUCCGUUGCUAUGGAAUCUGAGCCAGUCCUCUUUGCUAUUGGGUGAUUUCUUCUUCGGUACUCGUAAUUGACUGGGAUUCUCUCAUUACGCGUAAAUCACUGUCCAGCAGGUGAUGUUGGUGUACUACUAAUCAAAGAACCGGCUUUACUGACGAGAUGCGCAUGACAAUCAUGUGCGAUUUAUCGUGCAGCCCUACUUGACAAACUCCAUGCUACUGGAUACAAGCCAGUUCUGCUUCGUGAAAAGGAGACCAAGAAGCAAAAUAUUAAGUGUGAGAGAUUAUCGCCUAUGCCCAGGACUACCUUCAGAAGAUCGGUUCCUUUUAUGAAUACCUUUGUGAAGCAUCUGAUAGAGCUUUUGGACCCGGAAGCGGUGCUGUGUGAUGUCAGACAAACAAGCGGAUGGGAUUUGGUUGGACCCAGGAUUCCAGUGGCAUUAUGAUCAGCUGGUUACACUGCACCUCACACCCUGUGACCCACUGGAGAAUGCAAACAACUGGAAGAGAUGACAAACAUGGUGGAGCAGGCGACCACUACAGAGGGACAGGUGGAGGCAGCGAACACUAUGGAAGGGCAGCUGGAGCAGGCGAGCACUACGAAGGGCCAAGGUAAUUAAGACAGAUUUUAAGA